rnacentral:rRNA from 1 species
GGAGGAUCCGAGCGUUAUCCGGAUUUAUUGGGUUUAAAGGGAGCGUAGGCGGACGUUAAGUCAGUUGUGAAAGUUUGAGGCUCAACCUUAAAAUUGCAGUUGAUACUGGCGUCCUUGAGUACGGUUGAGGCAGGCGGAAUUCGUGGUGUAGCGGUGAAAUGCUUAGAUAUCACGAAGAACUCCGAUUGCGAAGGCAGCCUGCUAAGCUGCAACUGACAUUGAGGCUCGAAAGUGUGGGUAUCAAACAGGAUUAGAUACCCUGGUAGUCCACACGGUAAACGAUGAAUACUCGCUGUUUGCGAUAUACUGCAAGCGGCCAAGCGAAAGCGUUAAGUAUUCCACCUGGGGAGU